GUUUGUCUCUCAAUUCAUCAUCAAUCCCAGAGUGGGGCGGGAGGGGGAGGGAGGAGAGAUUAAUUGACACGGGUGAUAAAUACAACCUCAUCGUCGCCCUGUCAAAAUCCGAAUGUUCUUGUUAUUAGUAACUAUCGUACUAAAAGCGAGGUAGGACUUGUAAUCAUCACAUGCGUUUGUUCUAUUAUUGGAUAAGGAAAUCGAAACCGUAAGAGUGGAAACACAUCAGGUGUCGGAAAGUUGACGAAGGUUUUGAAAAAAUCAACUCUGUAAGACGUACUAACAAGACAUGAAGGUCUACAUUUGGUUUCCUAACCAGACCGAUGUCGGGCACGCUUCUUUAGAACUUUCCAACGGAAGGUACCUAAGCUGGUGGUUAGACGAUCGGAAAAUGCUGAAAAUUUCCGAUGACGUCGAGGCAAUGGGACGAGAUCCUAACAAAACAUUCGACCUUGAUGACCUCCAUUGCGAUGAAGACAAGAUCGAAGACGGGUGGACCGGAGCGAGCUAUUUCGCGCUUGGUACCAACUGCUGCUGGAUUGUCUACGAAGCUUUACGAUAUGGCGGAGCUCCCUACAGUCCUAAUCCGAUCUGGACCCCGUCUAUUCUCUACCGUUAUUUGAUAAGAGUGACAGAGGGGUUUUGGGCUAUGCUUGGUGCAUUUUCCGAAACAUCGCUCUUUUGAAACGUUUCCGAAAGACAACGAUGUCAGGUCAAGGGUAAUCCAUAGACUGAACGCGUAAUGACACAAAGAAUGAACUCGAAAAAUAAAGCUUUGUUCAAUAAA